UCCCCUUCUGGGGUUAACCUACUGAUGAGCUUGUGAAAUUCAAGCGAAAAGGAUU
rnacentral:hammerhead_ribozyme from 18 species